rnacentral:rRNA from 1 species
UUCGGAUCGUAGGCUGCAACUCGCCUGCGUGAAGUUGGAAUUGCUAGUAAUCGCGGAUCAGCAUGCCGCGGUGAAUACGUUCCCGGGCCUUGUACACACCGCCCGUCACACCAUGAGAGUCGGGAACACCCGAAGUCCGUAGUCUAACCCGCAAGGGAGGGCGCGGCCGAAGGUGGGGCCGGUAAUUGGGUGAAGUCGUAACAAGGUAUC